CGGGUGGGCCCUCGAAAUCCUCCGGCGGGGGGAUUCAGUCAGGAAAGGCGGAGGUGCGCGACGAUCGAUUCAGACGGACCCUUUUUCCAAGGCCGGGUCGACGCGCACGGUCUCCUCGCUUUGCCUGACGCAUUUCCUCCCGCACCAAGGACGCCGCAGCCGGUCGGGUAGCUGCGUGAGUCGGCCAUGAGGACGGGCGACGGCAGGUGGCCGGUGGCGUCGCCUCUUUUGGCCGUCGCCGCCGGUUGUUAGCCGGCCCGUCCGUGGCGCGACACCCGACCGAGGUUGCACGGUUCCCGCACGGGAACCCGCCGUCCCCUUCCUCCUCUACACGGGGAGGGAGCGGGCGCCCCGACAGGCGCAUCGCGGUGUCGCCUCGUCACUCUCCGUAGUGUCCGGCGCUCCGAGUUCGCUGUUGGUCGGGUGCGUGCCCGCAGGGGUUGCAGGCGGCUAGCGGCGAGUAGGUCGGUCACCCACCCGUCCCGUCUUGAAACACGGACCAAGGAGUCUAACAUGUGCGCGAGUCACGGGGUCUUGAUCAGGCCCAGAGGCGCAAUGAAAGUGAAGGUCGGGUUCUCGACCCGACUGCGUUGGGAUUCGUUCCCGCGGGCCCGGUCCGGUCAAAAAGACAAGGUCCGCGGGCGAAGCACCAACGACCCGUCCUAUCCGAUUCAUCGGUUGGGCGGAGUCUGAGCGUACACGUUGGGACCCGAAAGAUGGUGAACUAUGCCUGGGCAGGACGAAGCCAGAGGAAACUCUGGUGGAGGUCCGUAGCGGUUCUGACGUGCAAAUCGAUC
rnacentral:rRNA from 1 species